AGAGAAAGAAAAAAGAAAAAAGAAGAAGAAGAAAAAGAAACCCUAGUAAAACCCUUAUAAAUUGGGCGCACUCAAAGCCCUAAUUUCAUUAACUACUUGAUCUUAUCUGAGCCGGGACUGAGAAAUUGAGGAUGGCGGCUCCAUGGCUAGUACCCGGAAUUCCCUUUCUCUUCCUCUCAAAAAUGGCGGAGCCACCCUCCCUUUUCUGCCAAGGCUGCUUUGGAGGCUCUGCCAUGGCUGAACAGAGAUACCUACAGGGAGUUCUUGGUGACAAUCACUUCCUCAAUCAAAGAAGUAAUGGCAGGAUAUAAAGAGACCCAUAAAAAAUCUUCAGAAGACGUGGCUGUGCGUAUGAGAAGAUAGGCUAUCAUGUUGCUUGAUAUGGAGCAUUAAGAAACAUUGUUGAAUUGGGACGAUCAAUCAAUCUUUCAUUUUCUUCAAUGAUGAUUUACUGGAGGUCUUAACAGAUUGGAGUUCGGUUUGUUCAUGGAUGGAACUAAUUUCAAAACGCCCAUCGAGUUUGUUCAUAGAUGGGGCUAAAUUCAGAAUGCCUGACACGUCGAAGAUGGAAUUCAGGGCUUGCUCAACUUUAGAAAGAAGUCAUUCUUCAUUAACUAAACUUGUAGAAGCUAAUUGAAUUGCAUAUGCUAUCAAUAUAUGACUCCCAAACUUUGUAUUUGUA